AAUGGAGGAGAUUGUGUUGAUGGAGUCAGCUCCUUUACUUGCACCUGUGCUGUUGGUUUUACUGGGGAUACGUGUGCAGAGAUCGACGAAUGUUCCAGCAGUCCUUGUAUGAAUGGAGGAGAUUGUGUUGAUGGAGUCAGCUCCUUUACUUGCACCUGUGCUGUUGGUUUUACUGGGGAUACGUGUGCAGAGAUCGACGAAUGUUCCAGCAGUCCUUGUAUGAAUGGAGGAGAUUGCGUUGAUGGAGUCAGCUCCUUUUCUUGCACCUGUGCUGUUGGUUUUACUGGGGAUACGUGUGCAGAGAUCGACGAAUGUUCCAGCAGUCCU